rnacentral:rRNA from 1 species
UGCGAAGGCAGCUUUCUGGAUCAUUACUGACACUGAGGAACGAAAGCAUGGGUAGCGAAGAGGAUUAGAUACCCUCGUAGUCCAUGCCGUAAACGAUGUGUGUUAGACGUUGGAAAUUUAUUUUCAGUGUCGCAGCGAAAGCGAUAAACACACCGCCUGGGGAGUACGACCGCAAGGUUAAAACUCAAAUGAAUUGACGGGGACCCGCACAAGUAGUGGAGCAUGUGGUUUAAUUCGAAGAUACGCGCAGAACCUUACCAACACUUGACAUGUUCGUCGCGACUCUAAGAGAUUAGAGUUUUCGGUUCGGCCGGACGAAACACAGGUGCUGCAUGGCUGUCGUCAGCUCGUGUCGUGAGAUGUUGGGUUAAGUCCCGCAACGAGCGCAACCCUCACUUUUAGUUGCCAUCAUUAAGUUGGGCACUCUGAAAGAACUGCCAGUGAUAAGCUGGAGGAAGGUGGGGAUGACGUCAAGUCCUCAUGGCCCUUACGUGUUGGGCUACACACGUGCUACAAUGGUAUCUACAACAGGAAGCAAGACUGCGAAGUUAAGCAAAUCCCUAAAAGAUACCUCAGUUCGGAUUGCACUCUGCAACUCGAGUGCAUGAAGCUGGAAUUACUAGUAAUCGUAGAUCAGCGUGCUACGGUGAAUGCGUUCCCGGGUCUUGUACACACCGCCCGUCACACCAUGGGAGUUGGUUCUACCUUAAGGCAAGGUUUUAAACCCUUGACCACGGUAUAGUCAGCGACUGGGGUGAAGUCGUAACAAGGUAACCGUA